AGAGUUUGAUCAUGGCUCAGAAUGAACGCUGGCGGCGUGCUUAACACAUGCAAGUCGUACGAGAACGCUUCAGCUUGCUGAAGCUAGUAAAGUGGCGUACGGGUGAGUAACGCGUGGGUAAUCUACCUUCGAAUUGGGGAUAACGUUGCGAAAGUGACGCUAAUACCGGAUAAUAUCAUAGAGACCUUGGUUUUUAUGAUCAAAGAUGGCCUCUCCUUGGAAGCUAUUGUUUGGAGAUGAGCCCGCGUCCCAUUAGCUUGUUGGUGGGGUAAUGGCCUACCAAGGCAACGAUGGGUAGCUGGUCUGAGAGGAUGAUCAGCCACACUGGAACUGACACACGGUCCAGACUCCUACGGGAGGCAGCAGUGAGGAAUUUUGCGCAAUGGGGGAAACCCUGACGCAGCAACGCCGCGUGAGUGAUGAAGGCUUUCGGGUCGUAAAGCUCUGUCAAGUGGGAAGAACUCCCGUGAGGUUAAUACCCUCAUGGUUUGACGGUACCACUGAAGGAAGCACCGGCUAACUCCGUGCCAGCAGCCGCGGUAAUACGGGGGGUGCAAGCGUUAUUCGGAUUUACUGGGCGUAAAGCGCGCGUAGGCGGCCGUUUAAGUCAGAUGUGAAAGCCCGGGGCUCAACCCCGGAAGUGCAUUUGAUACUAUUCGGCUUGAGUAUGGGAGAGGGAAGUGGAAUUCCUGGUGUAGAG
rnacentral:rRNA from 1 species